rnacentral:rRNA from 1 species
AAUAGAUACCCCGGUAGUCCACGCCGUAAACGAUGAGUGCUAAGUGUUAGAGGGUUUCCGCCCUUUAGUGCUGCAGCUAACGCAUUAAGCACUCCGCCUGGGGAGUACGGUCGCAAGACUGAAACUCAAAGGAAUUGACGGGGGCCCGCACAAGCGGUGGAGCAUGUGGUUUAAUUCGAAGCAACGCGAAGAACCUUACCAGGUCUUGACAUCCCACUGACCGGUAUAGAGAUAUACCUUUCCCUUCGGGGACAGUGGUGACAGGUGGUGCAUGGUUGUCGUCAGCUCGUGCCGUGAGAUGUUGGGUUAAGUCCCGCAACGAGCGCAACCCUUGAUCUUAGUUGCCAGCAUUUAAUUGGGCACUCUAAGGUGACUGCCGGUGACAAACCGGAGGAAGGUGGGGAUGACGUCAAAUCAUCAUGCCCCUUAUGACCUGGGCUACACACGUGCUACAAUGGAUGGUACAAAGGGCUGCAAGACUGCGAAGUCAAGCCAAUCCCAUAAAACCAUUCUCAGUUCGGAUUGCAGG